rnacentral:rRNA from 1 species
GACAGAGGGUGCAAACGUUGUUCGGAUUUACUGGGCGUAAAGCGCGUGUAGGCGGCUUUGCAAGUCGGAUGUGAAAUCCCACGGCUCAACCGUGGAAGUGCAUCCGAAACGGCAUGGCUGGAGUCCCGGAGAGGAAGGUGGAAUGCUUGGUGUAGAGGUGAAAUUCGCAGAUAUCAGGAGGAACACCGGUGGCGAAGGCGGGUCUCUGGGGCCGAUACUGACGCUGAGGAGCGAAAGCGUGGGGAGCGAACAGG